AUAAAGUUUAAGCAAUCUUUUUUGUUUUGGAAAAUUUAUUAAUUAUCGCUGCGAAUGUGCGGCGUUGUGGCCAUGGUGUGGCCAAAGUGCCGUGGAAAGGUCAGGGACUUUUUCUACAAUCAACAUGGUUGGAAUUUAAUGAUGGUGUUUUAUCGCAUUAGAAGUGUUACUAUAGAAAAAGUGGAAUGGCCAAAUGGAUGACUGCCCAACAUCAUCAUACGUCCAGCCAUAUGAGUCAAUCUUUUAAACAUCUGUAAGUAACACCGAGGGGUAAUUCUUCCUGUAGCAUAAUCUGCAAUUCGUCAUUCCAAUCCAUCAUGGCAAUAUGGCAUACAACUAUUAACAAAAUCUCCACUCUGGAGUGGUGGCAUUUAAUGGACAACAUUUUUUGGGACAUGCAAAUUUUAGGCCUUCACCAGGUAAACCUCUGCUUCCAAUGAAAAGGACACCAAUCCUCUUUGUGGGAAACGGCUUGGCGUGUUGGAAUCUUUUGCAGCAGUAGCUAUCAUGAGCCAUCUAUUCAUACAACAGCAAUUGGCCACAUGUAUUUUCUUAACAAGAGCUGAUCAUAAUCGUAUUCGAUGCGAUGAAUCUUUUUAAACAUUUUUGAAGAUGCAGCAGCGAUUUCGGAACGAUCUUGGCUGAUUUUCGCUCCCCACAUGCCUAGUUAAUUAUUAACGUCUGAAUUAAGCCACAAACGCGUCGACGUUGUAAAAGUUAAAAAUGUUUUGAAAUUAGCAGUUUCAUUUAUAGAUGCUUAAGAAAACCAUUUGUAACCACGAACAAAAAGAAUUUACCUCCGAGCAUUAAAGUGCAGUGAUCAUGGUGAUCUCUCAUGACGUGGAAAAUCCGAUCACUGGCCAACCAUUCACCGACAGCCUCUUGUUCACGCUGAAUAAUCAGACUGUCAGAGUCUCUCGACAUGAAAGUGUCAACCAUUUCAUCAAGUAAAGGUAACUUACAUUGCAAGCAGUUAAACAGAAAUUAAUUGGAUAAUAUGCAAAAGACAUUUGUGGUAAUUACCCAACGCCAAGUCAUGGCAAAUGUAAUAUUAUUUAGUUUUUUAUUAUGAAGGAUUUCUGUUGCAUUGCACAAAUCCACGUGUGUUCCAACGUUUAAUUCCCUUUUUAGCGUAGUCCAGGCUGACGUACCGCUGUCUUCAUUGGUUUGGUUGUGGUAAACUCUUGCAAUCCAGCCUUUGAGUUUUACAAUAACAUUUUCUUGCAUUUUUUUUAUUUAGUUAUUUUAUUUCUUUAACUCAAAAGGAGGUACUACCUGGAUAGAUGGAUGGAAUCUUCUCGAGCGUCUCUCUGAGUGGGUAUAAAUACCGUUGGAUAAUUUCUUGUUGUGAAAAAUUGCCGUAAAGGGAAUAAGCAAUAAUAUUUUGGUGAGGGCCUCUGCGAUCAGCAUUCAAGCCACAAGUCGAUAAUGGCCUUCCUCCCACUUCCACGUUGAAAUAAGUGAUUCGAAAUGAUUUUACCGCUAAUUCGUAUAAAACUAUAACGGCCAGCACAUUCGUAAAAAUGAAAACAAAAAGAGGAAGACGUCGACAGAACUGAAAUAUUUUGUGGCGAAGCAUAAUACGAAACAUGUUGAUGUGCUUACUCAGCUCAAGUGAACUUGGAUAUGCAAGAAAUUGAAACCAAACGGCUUUCUUUUACGCAGUUGUUCAAAACAUUCUUUUGUGCAACAUGCGUAUAGGAAACCAGGAAAUAGCCUUUGCUACGAGUUAUUUGGGCCAUGUUUUGAACAGGCAAG